AAAAAGAAAAGAAAAGAAAAUGAGCGAGAGAGAAUGAUGAGAAGGUAUGUAGUAGUACUGUAGACUGCACACACUUUUGAAGUGCACGUUUGUGUUGUGUCGCUGUCCUUCACCAAACUCCGUUUCAAACCUAACCAAAAACCAUAUACACAAAUCGGUUAUCACGUGAUUAACCAACGGUUUUGUUUUUGUAACUGAAUCACGUGACAACAUCUUGUCUC
rnacentral:lncRNA from 1 species